AGGGCUCUUAUUGGUGAACAGUGGCAGUGCCUCCUCCAGCCUCUGCUCUUAAAAGCAUCACUGUGCUGGAGAAGAGAACACUUCCUUCAGGAGGACUGAGGAGCACAGCAUCACCUGCAUCUGGACCACAGCAUCACCUGCAGCUUUCCCUGAGUUUAGUUUUCAUUAGGGCUACCAUCAUCUCAGUUUGCAUUAGGUGGAACAACUGCGUGUGUUGAGCAUGAAGACUCCCGGAGCUGCUGGUCUGGUUGCUGUGGGCUGGUCUGGUUGUGGUUGCAGAGGAGACCUGCCAGCCCAACAUCUACACUGAGGUGAGGGGGAUUAAAACUCUGGUGGCGGAGCACAGAGUGGAGCUUGCAAACACUA